rnacentral:rRNA from 1 species
GACGAACGCUGGCGGCGUGCUUAACACAUGCAAGUCGAACGAUGAAGCCCAGCUUGCUGGGUGGAUUAGUGGCGAACGGGUGAGUAACACGUGGGCAACCUGCCCCAAACUCUGGGAUAACUCCUCGAAAGAGGUGCUAAUACCGGAUACGAACUAGACAGACAUCUGUACUAGUUGGAAAGUUUUUCGGUUUGGGAUGGGCCCGCGGCCUAUCAGCUUGUUGGUGAGGUAACGGCUCACCAAGGCUACGACGGGUAACCGGCCUGAGAGGGCGACCGGUCACCAUGGGACGGAGACACUGCCCAGACUCCUACGGGAGGCAGCAGUGGGGAAUAUUGCGCAAUGGGCGAAAGCCUGACGCAGCGACGCCGCGUGAGGGAUGAAGGUCUUCGGAUCGUAAACCUCUUUCAGUAGGGACGAAGCGAGAGUGACGGUACCUAAAGAAGAAGCACCGGCUAACUACGUGCCAGCAGCCGCCGUAA